GGGGGUAUAGCUCAGCUGGGAGAGCAGCAGACUGAAGUGGAACAUGUAGCCACUUUCUGAAGGUCCCGCGUUCGAUCCGCGGUACCCCCA